UGCUGGUGGCAGUGGUGCUGGUGUUAUGGUGAAUCAUCAGCAUCUGAAGGCCUUCACUGUGAAGAAUAUGAUGUUCGUGUUGAUGGUUUAUUUUUCCUUGCUCUAGGAUCAACUUGGAGUAAUUUUUAUAUGUCUGCCAACAUCCUUUCACACCUUUGCUCUGUCUUCCUUGGUCUGCAGUUCCAUAUUACACCCAGGUUUACUAUAUAUGGUGUCUUUCAUGUAUGUUAGAUACUAUUAUUUUGUUUUCUUUGUUACCCCUAAAAUCAGCUCUGUCCAGCUCCAGGUCUGCAUUUCUGUAACUGAGCAUGGGUGACUUAUAGCCGAGGGGUCUCAGUGCCAGCCUGUGCCCUUUCUUUCAGCAUUCUGUGCUUGUGGCCCUCUUUACUGCAGUCUGGUUUCACUGCUCACAGGCUUUGCUGUCAUACCAGGCCUGUUUUCCUCUGUACUGCAUCAACAUGUUAGAGUUGUUCUAUUCUGCACAGAAUACCUGCUUGUUACUGGUAUCUGUGUAAAACUAUGGUUGUACUAUUUAAAGACAAACAAAACAAAUUAACUUUAGAUACCUAGUAUCCGUCCUGCUAUUUCAACUUUUUCUCCUUUGGUGAUGCUCUUAGCAGCUGGUUCAGCUGGGUCAAGACUUUCAGGACACAAGAGAAUAAAACAUGGAUGUAGAUAUUUGUGGCUGACAGUCAAAUAUGUACAAUGCUUAGAAAAAGGAAAAAGGGGAAAGAUUUUUUUAUUGUUGUUUGCCCAGAAAGACUAUGGAAGCAUGAAGAAAUGCGAAAACAAAAGAUUGCUCAAGCCUUCCACAGAGAAACUGAGAGCACAAUGAAAAAUUCUCUUCCUUGUCCUUAGGGAAUGUCCUUAUUAAAUGGAAGGCCUGGGGCUUUUUUGAACAGCAAUGAAAAUGAAAAUCUGGAAAUUUGCAUGGAGUAAUCUGGAGAAGUCUUUAAAAUAAUACUUUUCCUGUCUUUGAAAGCAAUUUAAUGUAAUUUAUUUAAUUGACCUGUGAUUCUGCUGGAAAAAAACCCUCCCAAUCCUGUUGCAUAUGUGUUUUCUUCGUAUAUGCAUAGUCCAAUAUAGUUUACAGAGAAUGCCCAGGUUGUUUUGUAUGGUAACUGACAACUACUUAAGUAGGACUUAAAAGCUUCAGACAAUGUAAAUCAAGUAAUAAUAAAAGUUAUUAUAACUUCUAUUGUUUUCUUAUAAUCUCUAUACUAUUGUUAUAGGUAUAUGAAGCUUUUUAAUAUGUGGUGAUAAGGCUUUUUGAUAAGAUCCAUGAAGCAUUCUGGAGAAACACAUCGUACUGCCAUUUCAUUGAUCUCAGGUGGCAGGUGGAAGUCUUCUCAGAUGCAUUAUCACCUAAUUUCAAAGAGAAUGUAUUAACAGAGAUGCAGGAUAGCAAAUUUUCAUGUAAAUAAUGUCUUGCCUUUCUCAAAGGGCCCAUUUACAAUUCUGAGGCUAUUAGACUUCUGGCCUGGCUUCUUUAGCUCUGUAAUUCUGCAGUGGGAUUGGAGAUCCAGUUUGAGAUCGACAAUUAACUUCUCACUUGUGCUGCACAGCUUCUACAUUUCUGUAAUACUGAACAAAUGACUGCUACUAAUGUUUUGCUCAUCAACUAGUAAGUGGAGGCCAUUUAAGGCAGAAAUGUAGGGUUUAGCUCCAGCUGCCAUUCCAAUGUUGCAGAAAGCUUUCGCUGCAGUUCAUUAAGUUCAACUUCAGGCAGUCACAAAACUAUCAGCUAAUUAUUUUUUUUCCUUUCCUCGGCUGAGUGAAACCUCAUGUCACCCACUUCCACUCAUAAAAUGGAGCUACAGAAUUCUUCAUUCUUGGAGACAGAAGAAACAGAGCAGUGAGGAAGAUACCAGUGUAACCCUUAAAAUAACAGGAAGUGGCCUUUACAUAUAUUUUGAUGCUUACCAUUGCAUGGUCUUGUUUCCAAAGCCUGUUCUGGACAGAGGUGUUGAUUCUCUAAUUCCUGAAUGAUCACUGCCCGAGAUCGGACUUGUAUCCCUCCAAAGCCAAGAUCCUCACCAUUAACACAGAAUUCCUCAUCUACUGCUUUGCCAACAUCUUCAAUGGAUCCAUCAAAAACGACACAGGAAAUGUUCCUCACUCGUGUUCCUUCUCCACACUGAGCAUCCUGGGGAAGGAGGACACACAUGGAUGCCGACAGAAGUGCCAAAAGACUAGACCUAAUCUUGUGCUAUGUGUCAUUCUGUCUCCUGUUAUUUUUUUGCUUACUUACUUAUUCACUCCAGUAGGGGGAAAAACAACCCCACAACAUUUUUCUUUACUUCUGAAACAAACACACAAUCAAACAAACAUAGAAUUCUGCUGGCUGCUGCUACUGUUUCUUAAAGUAUGGAGGUAAUCGUGCUUUUGAAUUGCAACCAUGGCAGUAUCUCAAGUGAAGAUCUCUUCUAGGAUGCCAAUGUAUUUCCUCAGAUAUUCUUUUAUAAUAGAAAGAUUUUAAUUAUUAGCAAAGGUAUUAAAGUUUAUAUUUAUACUUUGAAUAUCUGUAGGACAUUGUUGUAUCUGUUGAGAAAUAUGAACUCUGAGAAUAAAUCUUUGAGUAUCUGUAGGACAUUGUUGUAUCUGUUGAGAAAUACGAACUCUGAGAAUAAAUCUUGAGGUUUUGUAUAAAAGGCGGAAGCAAAUUGUUUACAGUGUAAUGAAGCAUAUCACAAAUAUGUCUAGAUAUACAAACUCCAUAACUUCAAAGUCCUGUAUAGCUUUUACCUCUAC